CCCGGUGCUUCUAGCGAAGUGGCUACACCCGUUCCCAUUCCGAACACGGAAGUUAAGCACUUCAGCACUAAUGAUAUUCCUUCGGGGAGAAAGUAAGACAGUGCCGGGU
rnacentral:rRNA from 1 species